rnacentral:lncRNA from 1 species
GUCACCACCAUAUACCAACAUAACUUUUCUAUUACCCAAAACAAUCAGUACGUGAGAGUGUGUAUGUAUACAGGAUUGAAUGUGUCUGUGUGUAUGUGUGUGUGUAUGUGUGUGUGGGGGUGCGUGUCCAAGAGUGCCCAUAUGUGUGUGUGUGUGUGUGUGUGGUGUGUAAGUAGUUCUAUGUAUAUGUGAAACUGUGUCCUGUCACAGUUCUACAGCCGGGCACUUCAGCAGAUGUUCCAGUUGUUGUUGUUUUUGUGCGUGUGUGUCGCGUUAUUGUUGCUUCUGUUGUUGUUGUCGUCGUCGUUCGUUUCGACCGAGAGAGAGAGAGAGAGAGAGGGAGAAAGAAAAAGAAGAAGAAGAAUUUGGUUGUGUCACGCCUUUCCUUUUUCUUCUUUCUCUUUUAAAUGAAAUAACGAACACAUACACGCACGCGUCCACGCGCACACACAUACACAGGCUCGUACACAGAUACACAGACACGCACACACCCGUGAUUAUUCUAACUCGAACGGGGAUCUACCGAACAACACGGUGAGUUUUUCUCUGUGUGUGUAUAUAUAUAUAUAUAUAUACACACACACACACAUAUGUAUGUGUGUGUGUGUGUGUGUAUAUAUAUAUGUACACAUUUAAUUUAGUUUAAACAUAUACAUAUGCACGUGUUUUUUUAUGUCUGUGUGUAAGAUAUGUGCAUGUAUAAUAUACAUACAUGUGUAUAUAUAUUCAUACACAAUACAUCGUUUAUUGUUAUUCUUAUUCCUAUCAUUGAGUCAAUUGCUGUUGUAUACCCGGUAAAGCGCUGCACAAAAUAUUUCUUAGCAGUUAUCCAGUUACAGCUCUUUACCCUUAUCGUUGCGAGUUCCAAUCCCGCCUUGACUGACUUAACUUUCAUUCCAAUCGUACAUCAGGUUCCAUAAGUACCUGCUCCUCUCCAUGGUCCCAGGAAUAGGUACUAGAUCUGAUUUAAUGUACAAGUUCUGGUUGUAAGUAUGGCCUAUGUAAUUUAAGAUAUCCACUUCGCAAAUUUAAGAGUUUCCAGUUCAGUCGCAUUUCGCGGCACUUUAGAAACGUGUCUUCUACUAGAUUAACUAAAAUCUUUUGAGUAAAUUUUCGUCGACGGAAUCUCUGACGAAGCCCAUAUAAAAGAGUACAGUAUCUGUUUUAUGGCUUGUUGUCUUUGAGUACCUUUGCUGGAGUCUACUCUGGGAAAGACUUCCGUCCGGACACGGGUAGUUUUAUCCAUUCUACGAAGCAGGCCGAUCGCCAGACUUUGGUGCCUGGCGGGUACUUCAGAAUAUUCUGGAUGGGGAAUAAUUUAUAUUACGACAAAACUUUCGUAAACUAUAUUUUCUAUAUUUGAGGGUGCGUCGUUGAACAGUGAGGGGGCAGUGCCAUUCAGUUCCCCACCUUAACGACAGGUUGUUGUUGUUGUCUGGCCAUAAAACACGAUCAUGUUGAUAUUUAGCAAGAUAAACAAGGUUUUAUCCAUAAAUCCGUGGUUUUGCUUAUAUAAUGCUUCAUAGAUGAAUGCCAUUAAUUUUUUUCUGUGGUUGCAGUUGUUGGUGUUGCUAAUCCCUAGAUUAUCCUUCAUUUAGCAGGGCUAUCAUUUAAACAUAUUCCACCCGUGAUCAUCCUACCUUUUGUCAGUUACACUAUGAUGAAGACCAGAUGUUAUAGGGGUGGUGGUCAUCGGGUAAAUCGGUCCCGAAAUCGGAGACUCGAGGGAGGGCCCGGCAGUAUUUUGAUAGAAUUCUCUUGUGGACCUCAAAAAUGAGAUGACGCCUCAAAAAAUGCUUAAAAUAGAAUCUUCGGAAACCCCUUUAAUUUCGAGACCUCCAUCUCCUUGCCCCCACACCGUCAGGGCUCGAAGGUAGUCUUGUUCCGCUUUAUGGGAUUUUUCCCAGAGACCCUCUACGAUCACAUUAUCCAGCAUGUCCUUCCAUUGUUGUUGUUCAGACGGAGACUUGGCUGUUAUCUUUAGCAAAUCGAACGACCACAUAGAAGCACAUUCGUUGAAUCUAUACGUUGUUGUUGAUCUGCUCAUUGUCAUCUUUUAGCGAGUAAGUCUAUGAUCAGACAUUCCAACAGCGACUACACCAACAUUUUAGCGUGAUUACACUAUUCCUAUAGUGAAAUAGCCUGAGCGUGUGCCGCCCAGCGCACCCCUUCAGCUUCACUCACCGUUCUCUAUACAGGCUCAUACAGCAGACCCAAAAGUGCCGCCCAGAAACGACCACCUCCAUAUCCCCCACCUCACCGCACCCCAGUUAUGCUACUGCAUUCAAAAUGUCCUUUUUUUUUCUAAAGCUGUAAGGUAUAGUUUUAAGGAAAUUUAACUGCUAUUUUUAGCAGAUAGAAUGCUCACUUUGAAGCUCCCACUUGUGCCAGUGUUAAAUUGGAUGUAAUGCCCAGCUGCAGCUUGGCCUGGUUGUCCUCUUUCCAGUGUCCACUCUGUUGGAAAGUGGUGACAAAUAUUACUCCUCAGUAUAGUUACUACUUUCAUCUCUUAUUGAGAUUUUUCUAAUUACUCUGCUUGUUGUAAGAUCAGUGACCGAUGGUCACUUAUUUUUCUACAUAUUGCAAGCUGAAGCUAAUCCCUACUAUUUCUAACAGUCGGGUGUUUAUGACUGAAGAUGGGCACAAAUAAUCUGAAACCAUUCGGUCUUGUGAUCCUGUCAUUUGGUGGAAGAUAGUAGGGUUUUGGUCCCCUGCUUGCAAUAUAUACAGGGUGCAGGUUGCACCAGUAACCAGCAGGUAGAGGCUCUGCUUGGGGUUAAACAAUAGUAACAUCAAACGACCAUAUUGACAUGGCAACAAACAUCACUCCUCAGUAUACGCUUUUACUUGUUUCAGUCAUUUGACUGUGGCCAAGCUGGAGCACCACCUUUAGUCAAGCAGAUCGACCCCAGGACUUAUUCUUUGUAAGCCUAGUACUUAUUCUAUAAGUCUCUUUUGCCAAACAGCUAAGUUACGGGGAUGUAAACACACCACCAUCAGUUGUCAAGCGAUGCUGGGGGGACAAACACACACACACAUACAUACAUAUCACGUGAUCACGUGACCGACCAGACCAUCAGAUGUUAUUACACAUCGCUGGUCACAAUGCGUCCGCAUUGUUUUAACCUUCGAAUGACGCCACCCCGCUGGCUAAGCAAGCAGGCCAACAGAAGAAAGGGUGGGAGAAAGAGUGGUGAAAGAGUACAGCAGGGAUCACCACCCCCUGCCGGAGCGUCUUGGAGCUUUUAGGUGUUUUCGCUCAUUAAACACUCACAACGGCCGGUCUGGGAAUCGAAACCGCGAUCCUGCGACCGCGAGUCUGCUGCCAUAACCACUGGGCCAUUGCGCCUCCACACACACAUACACACACACAUAUAUAUAUAUAUAUAUAUAUAUAUAUAUAUAUAUAUAUAUAUAUAUAUAUAUAUAUAUAUAUAUAUAUAUGAUGGGCUUCUUUCAGUUUCCGUCUACCAAAUCCACUCACAAGGCUUGGUCGACCCAGGGCUAUGGUAGAAGACACUUGCCCAAGGUGCCACGUAGUGGGAAUGAACCCGGCACCAUGUGGUUGGUAAGCAAGCUACUUACCACACAGCCACUCCUGCAGCUGUAUAGUUACUAUUUUCAUUUUUUAUAGAGAUUUUUCUAACUAGCUACUUCACUUGUUGGAUUAUAAAAGCUUUUAACAGUGAAAUAAUUAAAAAAUUAAUAGACAGACGUAAAAUUUAUUUUAUAGAUUGCAGGUUAAUGACUUCUCUGUGCCUGAUGGGAUCUAGCUAAGUUUUCUAUGUCAGGCUGAGCAACUAUGGAGGUUCUACACAGUUGCUUGGUCUGCUAGAAAUAGCAGCACACUUCUCUCUAAUUUUAUUUUAAUCACUAUUACUAGUUAUAUCAUGUAUGAUAUAGGUACUAGAGGUAAAAUUUAGUAUGUUAAUUAUGUUAUCUCACUCCUACCCCUCACUGCCCUUAAAGCCUAAUGCCCCCUUCAACAUGCACAGCAACCUCCUUUGGGGCAGUACCACCCAUGAUGAGAACCUCUGAUGUAGGGUAUAGUAAAGUGGGGUGGUUUAUAUAGGGGUACAAUGAUGUAGGAAGUAACAGAGUUAUAACAUGAGAUUAUAUUGAAGAUAUGUAAGUGUGGAUCAACAACAGUAAAAAAACGAUAAACAUCACCCUUUUCAAGCCUAGCCAGGCACAUGGGCCCAGUUUCUGUGGCGUAUGUGUUCCCCCCCAGCUUGACGGGACAGCAGUCCAUUGCAGCGUUACUCAAGAACAGGAAGAAAGAGUGAGAGAAAGUUGUGGCGAAAGAGUACAACAGGGGUCGCCACCACCCCCUGCCAGAGCCUCAUGGAGCUUUAGGUGUUUUCACUCAAUAAACACACACAACGCCUGGUCUGGGAAUCGAAAGCUCGAUCCUCCAACUGCAAGUCCGCUGCCCUAAUCACUACACUAGGCCAUUGUGUCUCCACAUCAACAACAGUAUUGUCCCAAAUGUCUGUGUAAGAGCAUCACUGUCCCAGAUUUGUUUGUGUACCAGCAGCACAUCUGGGACACUGUUUUUACACUGGUCCCAUUUGUUUGUGGUUAUAAUGUAGUGCUGAAAGCUCAGAAAAAUAGCAGUUGCGGGUGAAAGUCUCCCAGCAUUGUUAUCUUCAUUAGCAGCAAAAGUAACAGAGUUACAACAUGGGAUUACAUUGGAGAUGUGUAAGUGUGUAUCGGUAGCAGCAUUGUCCCUGAUGUCUUUCUGUCACAACAGCACUCUUCCGAAUGUCUUUGUAACAGCAACAUUGUCCCUGAUUUGUUUGUAUAACAGCAGUACAGUUGGGUCACCACUGCUGUUUACACACACAGAUAUUCACUCUCUCUGAUGGCUGUAGUUAUAAUAUUAUAGUGUUAAAAGCACUGAGAAACAACAGCAGAAGUGGAGGUGCAAUGGCCCAGUGGUUAGGACAGCAGACUCGCGGUCAUAAGAACGCAGUUUCAAUUCCCAGAGAGGGCAUUGUGAGUGUUUAUUGAGCAAAAACACCUAAGCUCCACGAGGUUCCAGCAGGGGGUAGUGGUGAACCCCGCUGUACUCUUUCACCACAACUUUCUCUCACUCUUUCUUCCUACUUCUGCCACAAAGCAGAGGGACCAUAGUGUAACCCACUAUGGGUUGGUAAACUUUCAGACCCUAGUCUAGAUUACGAAUCCUCUGUACCCAAGGAUGGUUCAGCUCUCCACCCGUUAAAAGCCACCGUUUACAGAAUGAGGAUAACAACGUAGCUUUCGUGCCCAUGCAACCGCCAGUCUAUCGCGUGUGGUGGGUGAAUCUUCAAGUUGCCACACGCAUUCUUAGUAGCUGGGAGUAGGCUCGAAUUAGAGAUUAUUCUUUGUGGCUAAUGGCGUGAGUCCUGAUUGGAAGAAGAAGAAGACAGCAGCAGGUGAAGGUCUCCCAGCAUUGGGAGACCUAGAUUUCUGCUGUUAGCUUCAUCAGCAACAAAAGUAACUGAGAGAGAUUACAUUGGAAAUAUGUGUGUAUCAACUGCAGCGUUGUCCCUGAUGUCUUUGUGUUGCAGCAGCACUGUCCCAGAUUUGUUUGUGUAACAACAGCACAUCUGGGACAGUUCUGCUCUUUACUCACACAGACUCUGAGUCUGUGGUUAUAAAAUUAGCACAGUCCGUGGGUGUGCAACUGUAGCCUCAUCGUAGCUUUAGGAGUGGCACUCGAUUAUGGACCCCCACCUGAACUUUAUAAAAGAUUGUUAGUUGGGCAUGUUGGGGAGCUGAAGUAUUUCUUAGCCCAGAAAAGAAAGACCAGUGUCUUUGAUGUAGUUUUUACAAUGUCAAAGAUGUGUGCUGACCAAAAGAGGGAUCCUCAAUGACAACAAGGUCAGACAUUUAAAGUAAUCAAGAGGUCUCAAAGUUAAGUGCUGUUCAUGUUUAAGGGUGCAAUGUACAGUAAUGUUUUCUACAUAUGAGUAGUUUGGUAUUGUCAUAGCUAGAACAUUGAUAAUUGCAUGUCUGUCUGGAUAAUAGGCGACCUAGGGCUAAACAGAGACAAAAACCACUCAUCAAAGACAAGUGCACACUACUCUUUUACUCUUUUAUUUGUUUCAGUCAUUUGAGCAUAGCCAUGCUGGAGCACCGCCUUUAGUCGAGCAAAUCGACCCCAAGAUUUGUUACUUUUAAGUAAGCCUAGUACUUAUUCUAUUGGUCUCUUUUGCUGAACCAGCAUCGGUUGUCAAGCGAUGUUGGGGGGACAAACACAGACACACAAACAUAUACACACGCACACAUGCAUAUAUAUAUAUAUAUAUAUAUAUAUAUAUAUAUAUAUAUAUAUAUAUAUAUAUAUAUAUAUAUAUAUAGGGAGAGUUUACGAAAAAAAACAAAGGACGAAGACAGGUGGUGUACAAAACAAACAGAUAUAUUAGUAUAACGCUCAGGAAUAGAAAAAAGUCUUUUACGUUUUGAGCCUAUGCUCUUCUACAGAAAGGGACACAGAAUAAACAAGGAGAGAAAAAAUGUGUGUAGUGGCUAACGAUCUAUCAUCUAUAUAUAUAUAUAUAUAUAUAUAUAUAUAUAUUUGUUGUGCAAGAUUUUUUUAUGUGAAAUUGUGUGUUGAAACAGAUAUUGUUAUAUUUCGGAAUGGUCAUUUUGCCAGUUUUGCCAAAAAAAGCACAUGCACGAUAUAUUUGGUGUUACUUUGCUUCAGUGCUAUUUAUUUUUUUUUUUACAUUAAUCUUAAUCUUAUUUCGGCCAGAGUUCUUUCGUCACACUCCUGUGACCGCAUCAGUGGUCCUUUGCUUUCUUCUUUCUUAUUUGUGUGUCUCUCCUUACUAACCGUCAGCCAUUUUGUAUUUCUAUUGUAUGUGUCUUCAUUUGCACAUGUGUACGUCUCUAUGUGUGUCUAUGUUUAGUUAGUGUGUGUGUGUGUGUGUGUGUGACGAAAGGACUCUGGCCGAAAUUAGACUAAGACCAAUGCAAAAAACAAACAACACCGAAGCAAAGCAACACCAAAUAUACAGUGCAUGUGCUUUCACUGGCCAAACCGGCAAAAUGACCAAAAUGACCAAAAUGACCAAAAUGACCAAAAUGACCAUCCCCAAAUACACCAAUAUCUGUUUCAACACACGAUUUCACAUAAAAAAUCUUGCACAACAAAUAUAUAUAUAUAUUUGGGAAUGGUCAUUUUGCCGGUUUGGCCAGUGAAAGCACACACACUGUAUAUUUGGUGUUGCUUUGCUUACAUACAUACAUGCAUGUAUGUAUGUACACCAGCAUCUGUUGUCAAGCGAUGGUGGGGGGACAAACACAGAACGCAAACAUAUACACACACACACACACACACACACACACAGAUAAAAACAUAUAUAUAAAUCAAUAAAUGGUGUUGUUGUGUUGACUGCAUGUGAAAAAAUGAUAGGAGAAGAAAAAUUAUAAUAAGGCAGAAUGCUAAAUUGAAAGUAAAUUUUAAUAAAAAUGGGUGUAUGGAAAAUUAAAAAAGAAAAAAAUAAUAAAUCAAACCAGUUUUCAUCACAAAGCAAAUUAUCAAGAUUUGGAAGGGGAAAAGAAAUUUUUUUUUUUUAUCUUAAUCCUCUAAAGAAAUUUUUCCAAGGACUAUUAUUGAACUCUAAAAGCAUAAAGACUCUACUGUGUAUGGGUAUACUUAUUUAUUAAUGUUUGUAUGUAUUUAUUAUUCGUUUUUUGAAAAAAAACAUUGUAAAUUUCUUUUUUCUCCUUCCUCAAUUUUAAAAAAAAAAUUUCUUUUCCCCUUCCAAAUCUUGAUAAUUUGCUUUGCAAUGAAAACCGGUUUGAUUUAUUAUUUUUUCGUUUUUAAUUUUCCAUACACACAUUUUUAUUAAAAUUUACAUUCUGCCUUGUUAUAAUUUUUCCUCUCCUAUAUAUAAAUAUAUAUAUAUAUAUAUAUAGUUUGUAUAUGUAUUUGGUUUGCAGGAUUCUUGAUGUGAAUUCAUGUGUUGAAAGAAAUACUAUUGAAUCUUGGGAGGAGCAUCAUGCCGGUAAUAAUAAAUUGCUUAACUGAGUAAUUAACCCAUUAAUUAACAAUAACAAUAAAGGACGAAACUAGUGCAUGUGUUUAUUAUUACCGGCAUAGUGACCCUCCCAAGGAUCAAUAGUAUAUAUAUAUAUAUACACACAAUGGGCUUCUUUCAGUUUCCAUCUACCAAAUCCACUUAUAAAGCUUUGGUCAGCCUGAGGCCAUUGUAGAAGACACUUGCCCAAGGUGCCAUGCAGUGGGACUGAACCCAGAACCAUGUGAUUGGGAAGCAAGCUAAUUACUAUACAGCCACACAUGUGCCUAUAAAUCAUCAUCAUCAACAUCCUUUCAGUGUCCAUUUUUAUUUUUUCUAUGGCCUUAUUACAAGCUUCUUUCAGUUUUCUUCUAUCAAAUCCACUCAUACUCACCAGACUUUGGUUCAAAGUGGAUUAAACCGCUCAUAUCCCACCAAGGAGAUAACAACAUCAACAUGGGUGAAGAUCUUCUUUAGCCUGGGACUGAUGUUUCUCCUGUCCUUACCCACUGUCUUCAGUGCUUGACAUUUUUAUAGAGAACCCAGUCACUAUUCAGUCCAAAAUGGUUCAUCCGUGAGAUGUGACAGCAAAGAAGAACACACCUUUAUUCUCUGCAUGCAAUUAGACUUGGAAAGUUUUUGAGAAACCCACUGACCCAAUUUGCUGACUUUUCCGAUGACACAGGUAUCGAUGAGUGGUUGAAUGACCAAAUCCAAGCUUCUCUGCUAGUUCCUCAACAGUUACAAAGGUAUUUUUUUCCACCAGGGUUCGCAAGACAUCCUCAUCAAAUUCUAGAGACCUUCCAGGAUGAGACUUGUCUUCUAAGUUGUAGUUUCCAGCUCAGAAUUUCUGGAUCUACGGUUGACACUGGCUUACACUUAUUAUCCGAUCCCCAUUUACUGCAUUAAUAUUCUUUGCACUUUUGUAUUUCUUUAUUGCCCACAAGGGGCUAAACAUAGAGGGGACUAACAAGGACAGACAAAUGGAUUAAGUUGAUUACACCAACCCCAGUGCACAACUGGUACUUAAUUUAUCGACCCCGAAAGGAUGAAAGGCUAAGUCAACCUUGGCAGAAUUUGAACUCAGAAUGUAAAGACAGACGAAAUACCUAUUUCUUUACUACCCACAAGGGGCUAAACACAAAAAGGACAUACAAGGACAGGCAAAUGGAUUAAGUCGAUUAUAUCGACCCCAGUGCAUAACUGGUACUUUAUUUAUUGACCCCGUAAGAAUGAGAGGCAAAGUCGACCUCAGCGGAAUUUGAACUCAGAACGUAGUGGCAGACGAAAUACCAUUAAGCAUUUUGCCCGGUGUGCUAAUGUUUCUGCCAGCUUGCCUUGCAUUUUUUGUUAUGUUGUUGCUCUUUUUGAACUUAUAAAGCAAAAUACGCUGAAUAGCUCCUUUGUCACUUCCAUUAUAGCUGUGAAAAAAUAUGUUAAAAUUGAGCUGCGCUCAUUAAAGCUUGCUCUAAGAAUAAGGACAAGGUAAAAAUUACUACCUGCCUCUGUAACAAGUUGAUGCAGGUAGUUUAUCCCAUUCCAGCUUUUAGUUCAUGCAAUUAAAAAAAAACACAUUAAUCAUGGGCUGACCCAAUGUAUAUAUAUAUAUAUAUAUAUAUAUAUAUGUGUGUGUGUGUGUGUGUUUGUCUCCCACCACCACUUGGCAACCAGUGUUGGUGUGUUUACAUCCUUGUAGCUUAGCAGUUCAGCAAAAGAAACCAAUCGAAUAAAUUCCAGGCUUUAAAAGGAAAAAGUACUGGUAUUGAUUCCUUCGACUAAAAAUUCUUCAAGGUGUACCCCAGCAGGGUUGCAGUCUAAUGACUGAAACAAGUAAAAGAUUAAAAAAAUAUGUGUGUGUGAAUCAAAUUGUAGUCUUCAAUUGUAAAGACUUGCGUAGUAAAUGUAUGUAUGCAGGUACAUGUGCGUGUGAAUGUCUUUGUGUUAGGGAAAAGUUAAAGCACAAUAGUAUGCCUGUUAUAAGUACAACCAUUUGACCAAGCUAUAAAAACACAGACACACUGACACACACACUAACAACAAGAUUCCUCCACACAACUUUUAUCUAUCAAAUAUUCCAUUCACAAAACUUUGGUCAUAAAUCCAGUAGAACUCCACCAAAAAAGGGUACUGCUCUUGCAGCUGCUGUCUUCUUCUUCUUCUUCUUUUUCUUCUUCUUCUUCUUCUUCUUCUUCUUCUUCUUCUUCUUCUUCUUCUUCUUCUUCUUCUUCUUCUUCUUCUAAUCAGGAUUCACGCCAUUAGCCACAAAGAAUAAUCUCUAAUUCGAGCCUACUCUAAGCUACUAAGAAUGCAUGUGGCAACAUGAAGAUCCACCCACCACACGCAAUAGACUGGUGGUUGCAUGGGCACGAAAGCUAUGUUGUUAUUCUCAUUCUGUAAACGGUGGCUUUUAACGGGUGGAGAGCUGAACCAUCCUUGGGUACAGAGGAUUCGUAAUCUAGACUAGGGUCUGAAAGUUUACCACCCCAUAGUGGGUUACACCAAGGUUCCUCUGCUUUGUGGCAGAAGUAGGAAGAAAGAGUGAGAGAAAGUUGUGGUGAAAGAGUACAGCGGAGUUCACCACUCCCCCUGCCGGAGCCUCGUGGAGCUUAGGUGUUUUUGCUCAAUAAAUACUCACAAUGCCCUCUCUGGGAAUUGAAACUGCGUUCUUACGACCGCGAGUCCGCUGCCCUUACCACUGGGCCAUUGUGCCUCCUCUGCAGCUGCUGUUGCUACUGCUACUGCUGCUGCUGCUGUUAGCUGCCGUAUAGUUGAAUCUGACACAGAACCACAUGGUUGUGGGGUCAGACUGCUUAGUCACAUGUAGCUGCACCUGCAAACCUCAAAUUACAUUAUCCAAAUAUGAAGAAUUGAAUGCUGUGUGUAUUCAUAUGUUUAGUGUCUAUAUGUGUGCAUGUGUGUGUGAGUGAGUGUGGUUAACCAAAAGAAUUAUUACAAUUUUGUUUUUUCAAAGUAAAAUAUGCAUCAUAACUCACCCCCCCCCUCCCCCAUCAUAACACACCCAUAAUCUAAAAUAACACUUUAAAGUAAAAUGAAAGGAAAAAUAAACAAGUCAUAUGAAAAUACUCAAUGAAGACAAAAACUUCAAAACAGGCUACUUAUAAUUAUAGUAACUUCAUUCAGGUCACCCCCUCACCAUUCUUUUCCUUCCUCCUCUCUCCUCCUAUAUUAAACAUUUUGUGGAACAUUCUAGAAUACAAUCAGCAUUGUAGACUUUUUCUGUUUCAAUAUAUUCAUUUUCUUUCUCUGCUUAUGUUCUCUAAUUUUAGAACUUUUGUUGUCUGUGUAAUGGCUGGUGGAGAGGUUAGUUUUUUUUUGAUGUAACAACUGUUAAUCACUCAAUUAUUUGAGUUUAGUUUUUCACUUCUAUCAAGACAUUAAAUAUGUCAGCACUUAACCAGUUUUGGAGUUUGGAUUUUGUUUUGCUUUUUUCAUAUUUUCUUUUACUAGUGACUGAUGUCUUAUUUAAACUGAGACAUGGACAACCAU